UUAAUGGAUGUUGCUUCGCACUCCCAAUAGCAUUGGUCUUGUGUUUACCCAAUUAUCUUCUGCAAGUCAGGAUUUCUCUGGUGCCCGAAAAAGUGGUGAUUAAACUUAGGCUGUUAAGAACUGGUAUAAUGACAACAUCAACGCAUACUGCUGUUCCACGGCCUCGAAGCGUAGAGGGGGUGAAGCUGACAGACCCUAUCCAGAGAACCCGCCACCGGGACCCGGCGUCUGAAGGUCCCGAGCCCCGCCGACAGCCCAGACCCAGUCCGGGCUAGCCCGAGGCCUCCCUGGAGGUGGACGGUUUCAAUCCACAGAUACUGGGACCCCAGGGAGACACUCACCAGCCUCCGAACCUGCCAUGUCUCGAAGGCAGGUCGCCGCCGGACUCCGACGCGGCCGGGCAGGCGACGGUGUCCUGGAAGGGCCGAUCCACGCAGACCCGACGCUGGGGCGCGGGCGCACGAACCAAAGCGCAGGGAAGGAGGAGUGAAAGAGGGAGGGACGUUAAAAGAGCUUCUCGCCGCUGAUUGG
rnacentral:sRNA from 1 species